GGGUACAGCUCAGUGGUAGAGUGCAUGCCUAGCAUGCAUGAGGUCCUGGAUUCAAUCCCCAAUGUUUCCA
rnacentral:tRNA from 1 species